rnacentral:rRNA from 1 species
UACAGAGGUCUCAAGCGUUGUUCGGAUUCAUUGGGCGUAAAGGGUGCGUAGGCGGCGGGGCAAGUCAGGUGUGAAAUCUCGGGGCUCAACCCCGAAACUGCACUUGAUACUGCCCUGCUAGAGUACUGGAGAGGAGAUUGGAAUUUACGGUGUAGCAGUGAAAUGCGUAGAUAUCGUAAGGAAGACCAGUGGCGAAAGCGAAUCUCUGGACAGUUACUGACGCUGAGGCACGAAGGCCAGGGGAGCAAACGGG